rnacentral:rRNA from 1 species
CGUGUAGGUGGAUGGAUAAGUUAUGUGUGAAAUAUCCGGGCUUAACCUGGAGGGGUCAUGUGAUACUGUUCAUCUAGAGUAGAGUAGAGGGAAGUAGAAUUUCCGGUGUAGCGGUGAAAUGCGUAGAGAUCGGAAGGAAUACCAGUGGCGAAGGCGGCUUCCUGGGCUCAUACUGACACUGAGGCGCGAAAGCGUGGGUAGCGAACA